rnacentral:rRNA from 1 species
GACGAACGCUGGCGGCGUGCUUAACACAUGCAAGUCGAACGGAAAGGCCCUGCUUUUGUGGGGUGCUCGAGUGGCGAACGGGUGAGUAACACGUGAGUAACCUGCCCUUGACUUUGGGAUAACUUCAGGAAACUGGGGCUAAUACCGGAUAGGAGCUCCUGCUGCAUGGUGGGGGUUGGAAAGUUUCGGCGGUUGGGGAUGGACUCGCGGCUUAUCAGCUUGUUGGUGGGGUAGUGGCUUACCAAGGCUUUGACGGGUAGCCGGCCUGAGAGGGUGACCGGCCACAUUGGGACUGAGAUACGGCCCAGACUCCUACGGGAGGCAGCAGUGGGGAAUAUUGCACAAUGGGCGGAAGCCUGAUGCAGCAACGCCGCGUGCGGGAUGACGGCCUUCGGGUUGUAAACCGCUUUCGCCUGUGACGAAGCGUGAGUGACGGUAAUGGGUAAAGAAGCACCGGCUAACUACGUGCCAGCAGCCGCGGUGAUACGUAGGGUGCGAGCGUUGUCCGGAUUUAUUGGGCGUAAAGGGCUCGUAGGUGGUUGAUCGCGUCGGAAGUGUAAUCUUGGGGCUUAACCCUGAGCGUGCUUUCGAUACGGGUUGACUUGAGGAAGGUAGGGGAGAAUGGAAUUCCUGGUGGAGCGGUGGAAUGCGCAGAUAUCAGGAGGAACACCAGUGGCGAAGGCGGUUCUCUGGGCCUUUCCUGACGCUGAGGAGCGAAAGCGUGGGGAGCGAACAGGCUUAGAUACCCUGGUAGUCCACGCUGUAAACGGUGGGUACUAGGUGUGGGGUCCAUUCCACGGGUUCCGUGCCGUAGCUAACGCUUUAAGUACCCCGCCUGGGGAGUACGGCCGCAAGGCUAAAACUCAAAGGAAUUGACGGGGCCCCGCACAAGCGGCGGAGCAUGCGGAUUAAUUCGAUGCAACGCGUAGAACCUUACCUGGGUUUGACAUGGAUCGGGAGUGCUCAGAGAUGGGUGUGCCUCUUUUGGGGUCGGUUCACAGGUGGUGCAUGGCUGUCGUCAGCUCGUGUCGUGAGAUGUUGGGUUAAGUCCCGCAACGAGCGCAACCCUUGUUCACUGUUGCCAGCACGUUAUGGUGGGGACUCAGUGGAGACCGCCGGGGUCAACUCGGAGGAAGGUGGGGAUGACGUCAAGUCAUCAUGCCCCUUAUGUCCAGGGCUUCACGCAUGCUACAAUGGCUGGUACAGAGAGUGGCGAGCCUGUGAGGGUGAGCGAAUCUCGGAAAGCCGGUCUCAGUUCGGAUUGGGGUCUGCAACUCGACCUCAUGAAGUGGGAGUCGCUAGUAAUCGCAGAUCAGCAACGAUGCGGUGAAUACGUUCCCGGGGCU